AGAGAGAGAGAGAGAGAGAGACCACGGAACCUGUAUGCGUUAGGAGCCUGCGUACGGCGCCAUAUUGCGCCCUGAUGCCCAUUUUGCCUUUUCUCUAGCAGAGCCAAUCUGUUUCAAAUUUCACCUUUCACCGCCCACAUUACCCACCUCCCUCUCUCUCUGCCACGCCGUUAUAAAAUCUUCCGACUUCGCAUAAACAAUUAACAAUAGGAUACAGCAGUGAAAUCUCACUCUCUCUUUCUCUCUCUCCCUCUAUUUCUCUCUCUAUGUUGAGUUUUGGGUUCUGCACAUACAUACAAAUAAACAUUAAGAGCACUGAAUUUCUUUGUUGUUUUAAUCUGGGUGUGGUUGAAUUUACUUCAUGAUGAUUGAGAAAUGCAGAGAUUAAAAGUGACCUUGUAGUUAUACUUGAUUGUUGGGCAUUGAAUUUUCUUGGAUUUCUCAAGGAAUGAACUUUCUGUUGAAGGUAUAGAUAUGAGUCUGGUCCUCUGCUUCUUAAAUGCCAUUCAAUAUGGAGUUGCGUUCUCCGAUUCUGUUUCUUUUCGGUUCUGUGGUUGUUAACCAAGUUAUUGAUUGGGUUAGGACUCGCAGAUUUAGAGGGAAGUGAAAUAUAGCAAAAGAUGAAUACGAGAGCCGGGACAAGGCUGCAGCCCAUGAAAGGUCCAGUGAAGCCUGAAAAGGGUAAGGUCGAAAAGAUAUUGGGGAACAAGCAGAGAGAUAUCACGAAAGCUGCUAAAAAAAAUCGACAAGCCUCAAGCAGAGAGAAGAAAAUAGCACUGCAGCAAGAUGUUGACAAACUAAAGAAGCAGCUCAGGUACGAAGAGAAUGUUCACAGAGCUUUGGAGCGAGCUUUUAACAGACCUUUGGGAGCUCUUCCUCGGCUUCCUCCUUAUCUGCCUGCAGCUACGCUAGAGCUUCUCGCAGAAGUAGCUGUUUUGGAAGAGGAAGUUGUUCGGCUUGAAGAACAGGUGGUGCAUUUUAGGCAGGACUUGUAUCAAGAAGCUGUCUACAUUUCGAGCUCGAAGAAAAAUGUGGAAAGUUUAGCAGAUUUGUAUGACCUGUCCCCAAAUGAAAGUUCCAAACCAGAAAAUGCCAAGACAAUAGCUCGAAAUUUAGGGGAAUCCACAACAUCCAUAAUCGGGCAUUUGCCAACUCUUUCCGAAGAUGGACAAGGGAAAGAUAAUCAGUUGUGUACUAAUUCGGUGAAGCAGAACAAAAGUUCCUCAAUCCAUAAAGCUCAAAGAAGCAGAACUCCAGUGAAAAGACCUCCUGUCGACAAUAAACCAGCUGAGAAGCAUUUAAACCCUCAGAAAUUGGAGGUAGAUUGUAAAGCGAGAGGCCAAGAAAACGCUGAAGCAAGAAGUGUUAGCACUGCAGAAGAAAGGUUAUCUGGAGAUGACAACCCAAACAAGAUUUCUGAGGACAUUUUGAAAUGCUUAUCGACCAUUUUCUUACGAAUGAGCACAACAAAAAGUAGGCGUACUGCAGAGAAUUUACCUUUCUUAUCGACAUUAGUGUCCCAAGAAAAUGGUGAAGAAACUGAAUAUCGAGAUCCUUAUGGUAUGUGUUCACAAUUUGGGAAGAGAGAUAUUGGUCCAUACAAGCAUUUAUUUGCUAUAGAAGCUGGCACAAUUAAUCCAAACCGAACAUCGAACUCUUUAUUUCUACUUCAUAGGCUCAAACUUCUACUUGGGAAACUUGCCUCUGUCAACUUGCAGAAGCUCACCCAUCAAGAGAAGGUUGCGUUCUGGAUAAACAUUUACAACUCCUGCAUGAUGAAUGUAUGUGAUGCCCCUCUUUGUAUAGUUUUGGUGGCUUCUUAUCUAUCAAAUUCCAUAUGAUUUAGCUUCAUCUAUAUUUGUCAAUAUAUCUUUUCUUUCACAUAGAAGCAAGUAAUGCUAUAUAUAUGUGUUCUUAUAUUGAUAGAAAGGACCACUUACCUUGCUAUCUUGGUUCAGGCAUUUCUAGAACAUGGAAUACCAGAAGGUCCUGAGAUGAUUGUUGAACUAAUGCAACAGGUAUGAAAUAUUUUCUGAAUUGCAGUGAAUUUGGCCUAGAAAUAAAUUAGAAAAUUGAAAAGCAAUAUUCUCAAGUUUUAUUUAUAGCUUAUACAUUGUUGGUGAUUCCAUUUCUUAAUAUUUAGGCAACAAUAAAUGUUGGGGGACACUUGCUAAGUGCAAUAACCAUUGAACAUUUCAUCCUCAGACUACCUUAUUACUCAAAAUAUGUCAGUGGUGCACGCAACAACUUGUUUUGCUAAUUUCUUCUGUAAGUAAUUAAAGACUUUCUGAGCUUAACUCUCUUUCCUGAUUUACCAUCAGACCUUAUCAAAAGGAGCAAAAAAUGAUGAAAUGACAGUGAGGAGCAAAUUCGGAUUAGAGUUAUCUGAACCGUUAGUCACAUUUGCACUUUCAUGUGGAAGCUGGUCCUCCCCUGCUGUGAGAGUGUACACUGCAUCUCAGGUUGAGAACGAACUGGAUGUGGCAAAAAGAGAGUAUUUGCAGGCUGCAGUUGGAACUUCAACCAGAAAGUUUGCAAUCCCAAAGUUGUUGGAUUGGUAUUUACUUGAUUUUGCAAAGGACAUGGAGUCAUUGCUCGACUGGAUCUGCCUUCAAUUGCCAGGCGAAUUAGGGAAGGAAGCAAUUAGGUGCCUUGAUAGAGGGAAAAGCAAACCUGGAAAGUGACUUGUUUGUGGCCCCAUUUGGCAUUUGUUACGCUGAAACUGCAAUAACGACAUUGUUUACUUCAAAAACGGCGUCAUUUUAACCGAAAACGUCUUCCAAUCACUCUUCUUUUCUUCAAUGUCUCUUCUACUUUACCAAAAAGCGCAUGGUCGAACUUUCUCCUCAUAAUGCUCACUUGCCCAGAACCCUCCUUAACCCAACUCUCUAACAACCACCAAGUUCUCUGCCAUCACCACACCGUCCCCAUCUGCCAAUAUAAUAUAUAUAUAUACACUAUUCAUUACCCUAAAGCAAAAUAUUAUCCGGUUUAAAGUUUAAAAACUGGAAUUUGAAC
rnacentral:misc_RNA from 1 species